UACGAAGGGGGCGAGCGUUGUUCGGAUUUACUGGGCGUAAAGGGCGCGUAGGCGGCCCGGUAAGUCCGCUGUAAAAGUCAAAGGCUCAACCUUUGAAUGUCAGUGGAUACUGCCGGGCUAGAGUCCGGAAGAGGCGAGUGGAAUCCUGGUGUAGCGGUGGAAUGCGCAGAUAUCAGGAAGAACACCAACGGCGAAGGCAGUCUCUGGGACGGUACUGACGCUGAGACGCGAAAGCGUGGGGAGCGAACAGG
rnacentral:rRNA from 1 species